rnacentral:rRNA from 1 species
ACCCGCUUGAUUUAAGCAUAUAACUAAGCGGAGGAAAAGAAACUAACCAGGAUUCCCCCAGUAACGGCGAGUGAAGCGGGAAGAGCUCACGUUGUAAAUCUGACUUCGGUCCGAAUUGUAGUCUGGAGAGGCGUGACCAGCUGGAGACGGGGGCGAAGUCUCUUGGAAAAGAGCAUCAAGGAGGGUGACAAUCCCGUUCUUGCCCCCACUUUCCAUGCGUACGGUCCGUUUUCUACGAGUCGAGUUGCUUGGGAUUGCAGCUCAAAGCGGGUGGUAAAUUCCAUCUAAAGCUAAACACGGGUGGGAGACCGAUAGCGAACAAGUACCGUGAGGGAAAGAUGCAAAGAACUUUGAAAAGAGAGUUAAAGAGUGCCUGAAAUUGCUGAAAGGGAAGCGAAGGAAACCAGUGUCUGGCGGUUCCGCUUCUCCUUUGUCCCUCGGGGCAUUGGUUUGCGUUUCCGCCGUGGCCAGGGCCGGGUAGUGUUGCGGGAGUCUGCGCCUCGGAAGGUAGCAUCUCUUCGGAGUGUGAAGACCGUGGCGUGUCGUCGCGACGCUGGCCGGUUCUGACGAAAUGGUUUUCUUUACCCCGUCUUGAAACACGGAA